rnacentral:lncRNA from 1 species
GGGCAUUCUGAGGGCAGUAAACAGAGUCAGUCAUAAGCAGGACCUUUAGAUUGCUGCUAAGAUAACUUCCUCUCUCUAUAAAGACUUCUACAAACCAGGAGAAUUGAACUCAAUGAUAUUAGAGAUGAUGGAACAGCAGCUGUCCCAUGAAGAAAAGAUCAAAGGAAUACAGCCAAAAAUGGCAGGAGAAAAGUAUUAUUCGAGAGUUUCAGGGGCCAGAGAGCACGUAUUCUGUUGGUGGACCCAAUCAUCUGGCUGUGGACUGAAAGUGUAUGAACUUUAACUAGAGGAUGUUUGGGGGAGUCUAUGCAACUCUAGCAUAUCUGACAACAGGUAAAUUUUUCAAAGUAUUCAGUAGUCCUAAAGGGUUCAUCAGUGAGAAGAGUACUGUGGUCCUGUAGCUGGGACCCUGAGGGCGCAAUGUCAGGGUUCUAGCCAAUGGAAAGAGUGGCAUAAUUUAAAUAGUCUCCUUGCAAAUCUGCUGACACCAAGCUCACCAAAUCCCUUUACCUUUCUCUGAGUUCAUCUGACUGGCCAUAACCUCAGGAGUUGACUUGAAACACUCUCCCCUCUUUUUUUUUUUUUUUUUUUUUUUUGCCAUUUCUAGGCCCACUCCCAUGGCAUAUGGAGGUUCCCAGGCUAGAGGUCAAAUCGGAGCUGUAGCUGCCGACCUACACCAGAGCCACAGCAACUUGGGAUCUGAGCCACGUCUUUGACCUACAUCACAGCUCACGACAACGCCGGCUCCAUAAUCCACUGAGCAAGGCCAGGCAUCAAACCUGCAACCUCAUGGUUCCUAGUCGGAUUCGUUAACCACUGAGCCACAACGGGAACUCCAAA